ACCCCGGCGAGGGGAGUGAAAAAGAACCUGAAACCGUGUACGUACAAGCAGUGGGAGCACAGGUUUACCUGUGUGACUGCGUACCUUUUGUAUAAUGGGUCAGCGACUUAUAUUCUGUAGCAAGGUUAACCGAAUAGGGGAGCCGGAGGGAAACCGAGUCUUAAUUGGGCGUUAAGUUGCAGGGUAUAGACCCGAAACCCGGUGAUCUAGCCAUGGGCAGGUUGAAGGUUGGGUAACACUAACUGGAGGACCGAACCGACUAAUGUUGAAAAAUUAGCGGAUGACCUGUGGCUGGGGGUGAAAGGCCAAUCAAACCGGGAGAUAGCUGGUUCUCCCCGAAAGCUAUUUAGGUAGCGCCUCGUGAAUUCAUCUCCGGGGGUAGAGCACUGUUUCGGCUAGGGGGCCAUCCCGGCUUACCAACCCGAUGCAAACUGCGAAUACCGGAGAAUGUUAUCACGGGAGACACACGGCGGGUGCUAACGUCCGUCGUGAAGAGGGAAACAACCCAGACCGCCAGCUAAGGUCCCAAAGUCAUGGUUAAGUGGGAAACGAUGUGGGAAGGCCCAGACAGCCAGGAUGUUGGCUUAGAAGCAGCCAUCAUUUAAAGAAAGCGUAAUAGCUCACUGGUCGAGUCGGCCUGCGCGGAAGAUGUAACGGGGCUAAACCAU
rnacentral:rRNA from 1 species